AUACGGAGGGGGUUAGCGUUGUUCGGAAUUACUGGGCGUAAAGCGCACGUAGGCGGACUGGAAAGUUGGGGGUGAAAUCCCGGGGCUCAACCCCGGAACUGCCUCCAAAACUUCCAAUCUAGAGAUCGAGAGAGGUGAGUGGAAUUCCAAGUGUAGAGGUGAAAUUCGUAGAUAUUUGGAGGAACGCCAGUGGCGAAGGCGGCUCACUGGCUCGAUACUGACGCUGAGGUGCGAAAGCGUGGGGAGCAAACAGGAUUAGAUACCCCAGUAGUCC
rnacentral:rRNA from 1 species